rnacentral:rRNA from 1 species
AUUGAACGCUGGCGGCAUGCUUUACACAUGCAAGUCGAACGGCAGCGCGGGCUUCGGCCUGGCGGCGAGUGGAGAACGGGUGAGUAAUACAUCGGAACGUGCCCAGUAGUGGGGGAUAGCUCGGCGACAGCCGGAUUAAUACCGCAUACGACCUGAGGGUGAAAGCGGGGGCUCUUCGGACCUUGCGCUAUUGGAGCGGCCGAUGGCAGAUGAGCUAGGUGGUGGGGUAAAGGCCUACAGAGGCGACGAUCUGUAGCUGGUCGGAAAGGACGACCAGCCAGACGGGGAGUGAGGCAGGGCCCAGACUCCUGCGGGAGGCAGCAGUGGGGAAUUUUGGACAAGGGGCGAGAGCCUGAUCCAGCAAUGCCGCGUGAGGGAUGAAGGCCUUCGGGUUGGAAAGCACUUUUGGCGGGAACGAAAAGGACUGUGCCAAUACCACGGCUCGAUGACGGUACCUGCAGAAUAAGCACCGGCUAACUACGUG